rnacentral:rRNA from 1 species
UACGUAGGGCGCAAGCGUUGUCCGGAAUUAUUGGGCGUAAAGAGCUCGUAGGCGGUCUGUUGCGUCCGCUGUGAAAACUCGGGGCUUAACCCCGAGCCUGCAGUGGAUACGGGCAGACUAGAGGUAGGUAGGGGAGAAUGGAAUUCCCGGUGUAGCGGUGAAAUGCGCAGAUAUCGGGAGGAACACCGGUGGCGAAGGCGGUUCUCUGGGCCGUACCUGACGCUGAGGAGCGAAAGCGUGGGGAGCAAACAGG